rnacentral:rRNA from 1 species
GACGAACGCUGGCGGCGUGCUUAACACAUGCAAGUCGAACGGUAAGGCCCUUCGGGGUACACGAGUGGCGAACGGGUGAGUAACACGUGGGUGAUCUGCCCUGAACUUCGGGAUAAGCCUGGGAAACUGGGUCUAAUACCGGAUAGGACCACUGCCUGCAUGGGUGGUGGGGGAAAGCUUUUGCGGUGUGGGAUGGGCCCACGGCCUAUCAGCUUGUUGGUGGGGUGAUGGCCUACCAAGGCGACGACGGGUAGCCGGCCUGAGAGGGUGACCGGCCACACUGGGACUGAGAUACGGCCCAGACUCCUACGGGAGGCAGCAGUGGGGAAUAUUGCACAAUGGGCGCAAGCCUGAUGCAGCGACGCCGCGUGAGGGAUGACGGCCUUCGGGUUGUAAACCUCUUUCAGCACCGACGAAGCGCAAGUGACGGUAGGUGCAGAAGAAGGACCGGCCAACUACGUGCCAGCCGCCGCGGUAA